rnacentral:rRNA from 1 species
UUGAGUUUGAUCCUGGCUCAGAUUGAACGCUGGCGGCAGGCCUAACACAUGCAAGUCGAACGGUAGCACAGAGAGCUUGCUCUCGGGUGACGAGUGGCGGACGGGUGAGUAAUGUCUGGGAAACUGCCUGAUGGAGGGGGAUAACUACUGGAAACGGUAGCUAAUACCGCAUAACGUCGCAAGACCAAAGAGGGGGACCUUCGGGCCUCUUGCCAUCAGAUGUGCCCAGAUGGGAUUAGCUAGUAGGUGGGGUAACGGCUCACCUAGGCGACGAUCCCUAGCUGGUCUGAGAGGAUGACCAGCCACACUGGAACUGAGACACGGUCCAGACUCCUACGGGAGGCAGCAGUGGGGAAUAUUGCACAAUGGGCGCAAGCCUGAUGCAGCCAUGCCGCGUGUAUGAAGAAGGCCUUCGGGUUGUAAAGUACUUUCAGCGGGGAGGAAGGAGUAAGGUUAAUAACCUUGUUCAUUGACGUUACCCGCAGAAGAAGCACCGGCUAAGCCGU